CUCCCCCAGAGCCCGCCUGCUCCAGGUCGCUGCCUGCAGCUCCGAGCUACCUGAGUGCCAGCGUGUCCCGCGGACCGCGCUUUCCCUCUGUACUUUCAAUAAAUACUCUGCUUCAGAGACGCCGAUUCCUACAAUGGAAAGACUCUUUUCGACUACCUGGAUCGUGGGAAGCUUGCCUAAGUACCCGAGAUAAGUCUGAAUGCAGAAGGCAAAGAAUUGAUCAACCUAUAUGUAAAUUCUGUCUGUGGUGGGCUUUUUUUGUUUUGUUUUUGGUUUUUGGGGGGUGGUUUUUUGUUUGUUUGUUUGUUUUUGUGGGGGUGGAGUCGGGUUGGGGGGAGGGGUGGUUUGUUUGUUUCAAAAGUUACUAAUCAAUAAAACCCUCCCGGUAUUGAUUACAUUCCUGCCACGGUCUCUCAGACGAGCACCGAGCCUGAACCGCCUUCAAGUGAGAUGUAACAUGUGACGGAGCCAGAAACUUUCAGCGGUGACAGGAUUGUGGGUUUUUUUCCCGUGAGGAUGGACACGGAGAGGCCGCGCCGGAGCGGAGGGGAGCGGGUCGGGCCGGGCUGCUUCGCUCCGCUCCGGGCUGGCCGGUCCCGGGCCACUCCCGCUCCUCGCCGCGGGGCUGGGGCCCCGCCGUGUGGGGAUCAGACUGAUGGGGGCUGCCGUCAGGUAGGGCUGAAUCAGACGACCUUACAUCAUCUUUCUUCACCUGGAAGAUCACCCUCACACCCCGCCCCAGAACCUGAAGAUCAUCUCCGCGAGUAGAAGCCCGUUAGGGCAGUCCUUUUUGUUGUUGUGUUGGUGGGUUUGUUACUUUUUUUUUUUCCUUGCAGCCUGCCUCUCUGUUAUAGGGGCUGAGCAAAUCGGGGGCAAAUACGUCAGUGGUGCGGGGAGAGAAACGCAGAUGCCCAUUGCGCUUCACAUUAAUUUUCCCCCCUUAGCCGGGCCCGUUUCUCUCCAGCCACGAGCUGGUGCGCAGCAGAGCAGCAAUUCCCAUGUCUGUCUGUCUGUCUGUCCGCCACUGGCCUGAGCUGCGCGUUACCUCUGUCCCCAUCCCUUCCCCCAGCCUCCAGCCAAACAAAGGUGGGCGACGCUUUUCUUCUGCUCCUAAAGGCAGUUGGUGAGCAGCUUUCCUGAAACAAUAACUCUCUUAUUGAGAACAAAUGUUGACAUUUGCAGGGAGCGAGGAAAGAGGCAGCCCAGGAAGUGUAAAGUGGAAAGGGACCCUCUUCCUAUUUGACGACAGCACCAAUUCCUCCGGGAUCCCACCUGAGAUUAAAGCCCGAAUUUCAAUAAAUCAGCUCUAAUGAAACCUCUGGCCCCGAACAGGGAAGGGUUUGCCUUUCCUGCUCCAAAAUGAGCACAGAAACGAGGGGCGGGGGGUGGGGAGAAGAAGGAGUAAAUAUAGAAAGGGGUGUGAGAUUUUAAUCCCAGCGGGCUCAUUAGCAUCGUUAUGAAAUAAACCAUACACAGAGUGAUGUA